rnacentral:rRNA from 1 species
CAGUCGCCGCGGUAAUACGUAGGGUGCGAGCGUUAAUCGGAAUUACUGGGCGUAAAGCGCGCGCAGGCGGUUAUAUAAGACAGAUGUGAAAUCCCCGGGCUCAACCUGGGACCUGCAUUCGUGACUGUAUAGCUAGAGUACGGUAGAGGGGGAUGGAAUUCCGCGUGUAGCAGUGAAAUGCGUAGAUAUGCGGAGGAACACCGAUGGCGAAGGCAAUCCCCUGGACCUGUACUGACGCUCAUGCACGAAAGCGUGGGGAGCAAACAGGAUUAGAUACCCGGGUAGUCCCUGUCUCUUAUAA